GAUCCUGGCUCAGGAUGAACGCUAGCUACAGGCUUAACACAUGCAAGUCGCGGGGCAGCAUGAAGGAUGCUUGCAUCCUUUGAUGGCGACCGGCGCACGGGUGAGUAACGCGUAUCCAACCUGCCUGUUACCACGGCACAGCCCGUCGAAAGGCGGAUUAAUGCCGUAUGUGGUCUUGAAAGGGCAUCUGAUCAUGACUAAAGGUUCAGCGGUAACGGAUGGGGAUGCCG
rnacentral:rRNA from 1 species